rnacentral:rRNA from 1 species
UACGAGGGGGGCAAGCGUUGCUCGGAAUUUUUGGGCGUAAAGGGUGCGUAGGCGGUUUGGUAAGUCUUAUGUGAAAUCUACAGGCUCAACUUGUAGUCUGCAUGAGAAACUGCCGGGCUUGAGUAUGGGAGAGGUGAGUGGAAUUCCUGGUGUAGCGGUGAAAUGCGUAGAUAUCAGGAGGAACACCUGUGGCGAAAGCGGCUCACUGGACCAUAACUGACGCUGAUGCACGAAAGCUAGGGGAGCAAACGGG